UAUAAAACCUCUCCUUCUGUCUCAGGCUCUCAUCAGCCGUUUUGGGGCGUUUUUUUUCUCUCCUCAAAUCUUUCAUAGUUUCAUUCUCCAUUUCUCCUCAAAGUCUCUCGUUUCAAGGCUUCAAGCUCAAAGAGACAACGAUUCAACAUCUCAGCUCUCGUCUCAAGUCAGCUGAAAGCCGUCAAAGCUCAACAUCUCAAGCCUUCAAAACUCAAAGAAAGUUUGGACAAAGUAAGUGAUAAAAUGGAAGUGAAGCAGCAACUUAUGGCAUCAAAAAUUGGCAUUGAUGGCGGAGGAUUACUUCCAUUGUUAGCUGUUUCUUCUUCUGCUCGCUCAAAUCCCACUUUACCUAGACGCCAAUUUUCAUUCUCAUUAAAACACAAGGAAACAAGGAAGUUCAAAUCAGUCUUCAGUCCUGUCCGAAGCCAGGCCUCAAAUGUUGGUGUUGGAUCAAGUGAGUUUGAUGGAAGAGAGGAGUUUAAUAGUCAGAAUAUAUCUUCAAAUGGCUUAUCCACUGAAAGUUCCUCUCAAAUUGACAAGCGUCCUAGCCGAAUCCCUUAUCCUCUCUCUAUAGCUAUGGUUCUAGGUGUGUGUGCUCUGGCGUUUUCCCUUGUUAUGUUUGUCAAAGGAGGGCCUUCAUCAAUUUUGGCUGCUAUUGCAAAGACCGGAUUUACUGCUGCAUUCACAUUAAUAUUUGUCUCGGAAAUUGGGGAUAAGACAUUUUUUAUUGCUGCUCUCCUGGCCAUGCAGUAUAAAAAAGGACUGGUGCUGUUAGGAUCAAUGGGUGCCCUUGGACUGAUGACCAUCCUCUCUGUGAUUAUAGGACGAGUAUUUCAGUCUGUACCGGCUCAAUUUCAGACAACUCUUCCGAUCGGAGAGUACGCUGCUGUGACUCUUCUGCUAUUCUUUGGCUUGAAGUCAAUCAAAGAUGCAUGGGACCUUCCAGCAGAUGAUUCCAAAGAUGAAAAUAAAGAUGGCUCUGAACUUGGUGAAUAUACUGAGGCUGAGGAGCUUGUGAAGGCUUCAAAACGACUGACAAACCCAUUUGAAAUUCUGUGGAAGUCAUUUUGCCUUGUGUUCUUUGCAGAAUGGGGUGAUCGCUCAAUGCUUGCGACCAUCGCCCUUGGUGCUGCACAGUCUCCAUGGGGCGUGGCAAGUGGAGCCAUAGUGGGACACCUAGUUGCCACAUCUGUUGCAGUUCUUGGAGGAGCAUUUCUUGCCAAAUACAUUUCUGAAAAGCUGGUUGGCUACUUAGGAGGAGUCCUAUUUCUUCUUUUUGCUGUAGCAACAUUCUUUGGAUUCUUUUAGUUGGAUCGUGCAAGUAGAAUCUAUCAGCUUUAUAGCCAGCUUGGAAAUGUUCAUACAAGUUACGCCAUGCCAAUUCAGCAACAGAGCACCUUAAGUAGGAAAUUUUACAAAUUCCAAUAACCAGCUGCCACAGCCAAAAAAGUACUAACAGUCACCACUGUUGUCAUUGGAACAAACAUCACAUAAUAGUCCACCCCCCGUAUUGAGAUCUCUAGAAAUCACAAGUCUUGCUUUCAAGUGUUUUAAACUCUCAUUAGGGUUUUUAAUUCUGUACACACUUGCUUCCAAGGGCUUUCUUCCUGGACAGUAGUUUCCCGAUGAUCCAUGUCAUUUUGUUCUAGUGCUCGUUACUAGAAAUUACCAAGCAAUUUGUGCUAGAGACUAAUGCUUCUAAUGGAGGAAUAGAGGUUACAACAAUUCUGGACACCCCUUAGUUUUUUCUAGAACUACUGUGUUUGCUCAUUGCAGUGCUAAAAAAGGAGCACAACCUAUCUAGUCAAAAGUUUCUUAUACUCCGUAAUAACUUAUAAGAAUGGCUCUUAUCAUAAAAUUUGCAACACCGAUUCAGCAGUUUGAUCUAGUUGUCUAAGUUAAAGUGAUUUGUCUUUGAUAAACAAAUACUAAUGUGGUGUUCGGAACUGGGGGCAAAUGCUUUGGCUAGAAUGUCUGGUUUCAAGGUUUAAAUCAUGGCCUAAUCAAUUUUAACUCAUAAUCACUUAAGUUGAUACACGACAGUUGUGAGUUACAUGAGAAUGUGAAGGCCUUAUUAGAGAAGCUUGGACAAGGGAAGAGAUGA